rnacentral:rRNA from 1 species
UACGUAGGUGGCAAGCGUUGUCCGGAAUUAUUGGGCGUAAAGCGCGCGCAGGCGGCCUUUUAAGUCUGAUGUGAAAGCCCACGGCUUAACCGUGGAAGGUCAUUGGAAACUGGAAGGCUUGAGUACAGAAGAGGAAAGCGGAAUUCCACGUGUAGCGGUGAAAUGCGUAGAGAUGUGGAGGAACACCAGUGGCGAAGGCGGCUUUCUGGUCUGUAACUGACGCUGAGGCGCGAAAGCGUGGGGAGCAAACAGG